GAUGAACGCUGGCGGCGUGCUUAACACAUGCAAGUCGAACGAAGCAUUUGCGACAGAUUUUUUCGGAAUGAAGUUGCUUAUGACUGAGUGGCGGACGGGUGAGUAACGCGUGGGUAACCUGCCUUGUACUGGGGGAUAGCAGCUGGAAACGGCUGGUAAUACCGCAUAAGCGCACAAUGUUGCAUGACAUGGUGUGAAAAACUCCGGUGGUAUAAGAUGGACCCGCGUCUGAUUAGCUAGUUGGUGAGAUAACAGCCCACCAAGGCGACGAUCAGUAGCCGACCUGAGAGGGUGACCGGCCACAUUGGGACUGAGACACGGCCCAGACUCCUACGGGAGGCAGCAGUGGGGAAUAUUGCACAAUGGAGGAAACUCUGAUGCAGCGACGCCGCGUGAGUGAAGAAGUAAUUCGUUAUGUAAAGCUCUAUCAGCAGGGAAGAUAGUGACGGUACCUGAUUAAGAAGCUCCGGCUAAAUACGUG
rnacentral:rRNA from 1 species